AUGACCUUGAAGCCGCUCUCAUCCCUCAUUGGAAUUCCUUCUGAUCUUCCCAGGAUGGCUCUCACAGCUAGGGGCAAAGAUGCUCCAAGAUGCCUCCCAGGCUCGAACCCAGACAUGAGAGCCGCAGGCCAGCCCCAACAAUUGUUUGCAGGAGGAUCCCCAAAUGAUCAACUGUUGGCCCCAGUUUCACACUCUAGGAGGUAUCUUGUAUUCCUUCUAGCAAAGGUGUUUUUUCUUAGAGUGCCUGAUGUGGAAGCUUGCUUGCAAAAGGAAACAUCAGAAUCCUCCACUAGGACCCUGUUUUGGCUUCCAAGGAUGUGCUAUCUUGCCUUUUGCAGGUCUCCCCUGAUGCAGACUUGACAGUCCUAUCUGAACAGCUUUGCAUAUCAACUUGCUGAAAGGUGAGAUCAUCUUUCUCCCACUGGGUCCUUUCUUCUCUGUGCCCAUGUUUUACUUAC
rnacentral:lncRNA from 1 species